rnacentral:rRNA from 1 species
GACGGGGGGGGCAAGUGUUCUUCGGAAUGACUGGGCGUAAAGGGCACGUAGGCGGUGAAUCGGGUUGAAAGUGAAAGUCGCCAAAAACUGGCGGAAUGCUCUCGAAACCAAUUCACUUGGGUGAGACAGAGGAGAGUGGAAUUUCGUGUGUAGGGGUGAAAUUCGUAGAUAUUGGGAAGAACACCGGUGGCGAAGGCGGCUCUCUGGACCGAUACUGACGCUGAGGCGCGAAAGCGUGGGGAGCAAACAGG